GGAGAUGACGCAACACAGCACAGCAGUUGCAAUGUGUACUGCACGCUGUGGGUCACUUAUGCCUGCAGCAAAAUAACCACUAAAGGGGUGAUUUAUUUCAUUUUACAGCCUGCAGUAAAGAAAAGAAAGAUUC